UACGAAGGGGGCUAGCGUUGUUCGGAAUCACUGGGCGUAAAGCGCACGUAGGCGGAUCCUUAAGUCAGGGGUGAAAUCCCGAGGCUCAACCUCGGAACUGCCUUUGAUACUGGGGAUCUUGAGUCCGGGAGAGGUGAGUGGAAUUGCGAGUGUAGAGGUGAAAUUCGUAGAUAUUCGCAAGAACACCAGUGGCGAAGGCGGACUCACUGGCCCGGUACUGACGCUGAGGUGCGAAAGCGUGGGGAG
rnacentral:rRNA from 1 species